rnacentral:rRNA from 1 species
UGGGGAAUAUUGGACAAUGGGCGCAAGCCUGAUCCAGCCAUGCCGCGUGAGUGAAGAAGGCUCUAGGGUUGUAAAGCUCUUUCACCCGCGAAGAUGAUGACGGUAGCGGGAGAAGAAGCCCCGGCUAACUCCGUGCCAGCAGCCGCGGUAAUACGGAGGGGGCUAGCGUUGUUCGGAAUUACUGGGCGUAAAGGGCACGUAGGCGGCGCGGUCAGUUAGGUGUGAAAGACCUGGGCUCAACCGAGGAAUUGCACUUAAUACUGCCGCGCUCGAGUCCGAGAGAGGUGAGUGGAAUUCCCAGUGUAGAGGUGAAAUUCGUAGAUAUUGGGAAGAACACCAGUGGCGAAGGCGGCUCACUGGCUCGGUACUGACGCUGAGGUGCGAAAGCGUGGGGAGCAAACAGGAUUAGAUACCCGCGUAGUCC